CCUCACAUCCUCUUCUUCUUCUUCACAAAUCCUCUUUUAGUAGCAGAUCUAGCAAACCAUUUAAAUUGCGAUUAUUAAAACAUAAUCAGUUAAGAAAAUAUGACACCGGAGUUCUCGCUUCUCUCACCUCAUCCACGCUUUUCCGGUGACCUUCCAUCUCUCCGGUGAUGCUCCGAUGAGGCUUUUUUGAUCGUUUUUCUUUGUUCUUGUUGUGGAUCCGUUUCAGAUCCUCGUCUUCCCUCUCUUUGCUCCAUCAAUUUCAUGUGUUUCUAGCUUUUUAGUUUGCUGCAGAUCUGUUCCUCCUGUGUUUUCCGGUUUGGUUCUUUCCGGUGGGUUCUGUUAUGUUUGUCGAGAUCUGUGUGCUGUUGUGUUCAUAGAUCCAGAAAUUUGUGGGCAUAUAUUUGAUGAUAGAUUGUUUAGGAAUGAAAAUAAUAGAGGAAUUAAAAAAAAUAUAAGUAUGAUGAAUUUUUAUAUGUGAAGAAUGUGCAUUUUUGGGAUAAAGAUGAAGAUUAAUGAAGAGGAAUUAAAGAGACUGAUGUUUUUUCAGUUUCAAUUUGAGAAAGAAAUUCACCGUG
rnacentral:lncRNA from 1 species